rnacentral:rRNA from 1 species
AAUAGAUACCCUGGUAGUCCACGCCGUAAACGAUGUCGACUUGGAGGUUGUUCCCUUGAGGAGUGGCUUCCGGAGCUAACGCGUUAAGUCGACCGCCUGGGGAGUACGGCCGCAAGGUUAAAACUCAAAUGAAUUGACGGGGGCCCGCACAAGCGGUGGAGCAUGUGGUUUAAUUCGAUGCAACGCGAAGAACCUUACCUACUCUUGACAUCCAGAGAACUUAGCAGAGAUGCUUUGGUGCCUUCGGGAACUCUGAGACAGGUGCUGCAUGGCUGUCGUCAGCUCGUGUUGUGAAAUGUUGGGUUAAGUCCCGCAACGAGCGCAACCCUUAUCCUUUGUUGCCAGCGGUCCGGCCGGGAACUCAAAGGAGACUGCCAGUGAUAAACUGGAGGAAGGUGGGGAUGACGUCAAGUCAUCAUGGCCCUUACGAGUAGGGCUACACACGUGCUACAAUGGCGUAUACAAAGAGAAGCGACCUCGCGAGAGCAAGCGGACCUCAUAAAGUACGUCGUAGUCCGGAUUGGAGUCUGC